rnacentral:lncRNA from 1 species
CAAUUGCCUCCUCAAAUACCAAGCUUUGCUGCUAAAGGGAUCUGCAGUCCAGCUGAAAACCUGCCCUUGCCUGAGCCCAGCCACUUUCUCCCAGAGAAAACUGGAGAACCUAAACAUGAUUGUGAACAGAAUGGCUUCCGGUGGCCUGGGACUCCUUGGGGAAACAGAAAAUGCACCACAAAUCCCAUUUUAGGAAAAAUCUGUUUUCCUCGGAGCCCCUGG